rnacentral:rRNA from 1 species
GGACUACAAGGGUAUCUAAUCCUGUUUGCUCCCCACGCUUUCGCGUCUCAGCGUCAGUAUCCGUCCAGAUGGCCGCCUUCGCCACCGGUGUUCCUCCCCAUAUCUACGAAUUUCACCUCUACUUGGGGAAUUCCGCCAUCCUCUCCGGUACUCGAGCCGUGCAGUUUCGGGCGCACUUCCUCGGUUAAGCCGAGGGCUUUCACACCCGACUUGCAUGGCCGCCUACACGCGCUUUACGCCCAAUAAUUCCGAACAACGCUUGCACCCUCUGUAUUACCGCGGCGGCUGGCAC